UACGUAGGGGGCAAGCGUUGUCCGGAAUCAUUGGGCGUAAAGAGCGCGUAGGCGGCCUCGGUAAGUCCUGCUGUGAAAGUCAGGGGCUCAACCCUUGGAAUGCCGGUGGAUACUGUCGGAGGCUAGAGUGCGGAAGAGGCGAGUGGAAUUCCUGGUGUAGCGGUGAAAUGCGCAGAUAUCAGGAGGAACACCUAUUGCGAAGGCAGCUCGCUGGGACGUAACUGACGCUGAGACGCGAAAGCGUGGGGAGCAAACAGG
rnacentral:rRNA from 1 species